UCAAAGCAAGGGCGGCCCGGUUGCAUCGGGAUGCAGUCAGCGCCGUUGGCACAGGCGAAGUUUAGAUUCGCCAGCAGCUGUUGGUCCGGGACGCCAUCCGCAGGUACGCACCACUCCCCACUGGCUGGUGGGGUCGUCGAGGAGCUUCCUGGUGGCCGACGACAAAGACAGCAGAUCCUGGGCGGCCCGCCCUCCAUCAUAUGAUUGAGAACCUACAGAAAACAGCAAAACCGCCCAAGUCGGUAGGGGUCACACUCCUUCAUCACAGUGAGCGCAUGUUUGGCCUUGACAUAUUCACAAAUGUUUAGACUCUUUCCAGGAGAGCAUUGCAUCAUGCUUUCAUGCUUUCAUGCAUACGUCGAGAUUAGGCAAGAAAUUCCCGGAAAAAGGUCGAGAAAUCACGGUAAAACUCACUUGCCAAUCGAGAACCUUCCAGCACCGUGGCCAAGAAGAGCGUCAGGACCCAGAAAUGUGAAAAUGACGCCAUGGAAGAAGAAGAAGAAGAAGAAGAAGAAA